GUGUAGUUUCGCGUUAGCGAUUGAAGCGGAAAUCCUUUUUGCGGCGCAGUGCAACGGAGCCGUAAAAAGAUUGCAGCGAAAAGCGCGGCCACAG
rnacentral:sRNA from 1 species